GACACCACUGCACAUUGAUGAUCACUCUAAUUUUACCCACCUCAACUAUGCUCAUAAGUUUCCCAGAAUAAAAGGAGGACCUCUACACACCAAUUGCACACACAAGAACUCUUUCAGGUGGGCCCAGCAGCUCCAGAAACUGGAAACAACUCCAACAACUUCAUCUCUAGAUGAUGAUGUGCCAGGGAUUCCAAACCCAUCUCCCAUGAAGAUGAAACCAGCUAACACCCCCUGGAACAAUCCACAGCUUCCUUCUACUCCCCACUGUCCAUCCAGUUUUCCUAAAACUUGGAUAGCAAGGACUUCUGGAGCCGUCAGUCAGGAUCAAUGUCCUAUACCAGCAUGAAGUAGUUACAGAAGGGCUGUCACCCAUUUUCCCUUAAGAGAUUGUAAGGGCCCAGAGUCCUUCGGGGGGAAUGUUAGAGUAGGCAGUCAGUUAGGCUUUACCAGGAUGCCUGGAGGCCAGCAAAGGGUAAGUCAAGGCCCAUUAUCAGAAAAGUUAGAAACCCAUCCUGGUAGCAUUCCACAAACAAAGCCACAAGAAGCCAGAUCAAACCAGACAGGACCAAGAUAAAGAAGGCCAGAGACCCUGACCAAGCAAGGGAGAAAAGAAAUUGCCACAGCUACCUGAACCUUCAGUAACUACCACCCUGAUCAGUCAGCAGCCAUCAACGUCAAGGAAAGAUCCUCCACCAGCAAAAAGAUUCCACUCGAAGUUCAGAUGAUAAAUAGC